AUGACUUUUUCCAAAGCAGGGCAGGAAUGUGGACAGGCAGGAGGAAGAGACAUAUGGAUCAAUCAUGCUGAGCCUCCUUUGGCUCGCCAGGAGGAGGUGCAAGAGACCAAGGGAAGGAGAGGAAGAGUUGUUCUAGCUAUUGGCCAAAGUAUUGCUUUGGCAGAACAAAUUUCCCGAGUAUUUCAGAUGCACAAAUUUUAUCUCUAUUCUCACAGCUUUAUCUAUUGCAUGCAGACUUUAAAGUUAAGACACUCAGCACCUCAAGCACUGGACCAUGGUUGUUAAGCUCAAGAAAGAGAAGCACAGCAUGGCGACACAGUUAUCCCCAGGAUCUGAACCCAAAUCACUUUUGAUUUUGAAGAUUAAAAUUAGUACUCUUGGACUGAUGGAAAUACAAAGCAACUCAUUGCGUGGGCCACACGUACCAUAUGCAGCCAGUGUGAAUAACUGGACUAUCACAUCCUAGAAAAACUCCUACAUGAUACAAAAAAACCCUGUCAUUAUCAUGCU
rnacentral:lncRNA from 1 species